rnacentral:rRNA from 1 species
CGAAACUGCGAAUGGCUCAUUAAAUCAGUUAUCGUUUAUUUGAUAGUACCUUACUACUUGGAUAACCGUGGUAAUUCUAGAGCUAAUACAUGCGAAAAAUCCCGACUUCGGAAGGGAUGUAUUUAUUAGAUAAAAAACCAAUGCCCUUUGGGCUCCUUGGUGAUUCAUAAUAACUCAACGAAUCGCAUGGCCUUGCGCCGGCGAUGGUUCAUUCAAAUUUCUGCCCUAUCAACUUUCGAUUGGAAGGUAGUGUCCUCCAAUGGUUUCGACGGGUAACGAAGAAUUAGGGUUCGAUCUCGGAGAGGAAGCCUGAGAAACGGCUUACACAUCCAAGGAAGGCAGCAGGCGCGCAAAUUACCCAAUCCCAAUUCGGGGAGGUAGUGACAAUAAAUACUGAUGCAGGGCUCUUUAGGGUCUUGCAAUUGGAAUGAGUACAAUUUAAAUCCCUUAACGAGGAACAAUUGGAGGGCAAGUCUGGUGCCAGCAGCCGCGGUAACUCCAGCUCCAAUAGCGUAUAUUAAAGUUGUUGUGGUUAAAAAGCUCGUAGUUGAACCUUGGGCCUGGCCGUCCGGUCCGCCUCACCGCGUGCACUGGCACGGCCGGGCCUUCCCACCGCGGAAUCGCAUGCCCUUUACUGGGCGUGUCGGGGAAGCGGUACUUUUACUGUGAAAAAAUUAGAGUGCUCUAAGCAGGCCUAUGCUCGAAUACAUUAGCAUGGAAUAAUAGAAUAGGACAGGCGUUCUAUUUUGUUGGUUUCUAGGACGUCUGUAAUGAUUAACAGAAACAAUCGGGGGCGUCAGUAUUGCAUCGUCAGAGGUGAAAUUCUUAGAUCGACGCAAGACUAACUACUGCGAAAGCAUUCGCCAAGGGUGUUUUCAUUAAUCAGGAACGAAAGUUAGGGGAUCGAAGACGAUCAGAUACCGUCGUAGUCUUAACCAUAAACUAUGCCGACUAGUGAUCGGGCGGUGUUAAUUUUUGACCCGCUCGGCACCUUACGAGAAAUCUUAAGUGCUUGGGCUCCAGGGGGAGUAUGGUCGCAAGGCUGAAACUUAAAGAAAUUGACGGAAGGGCACCACCAGGGGUGGAACCUGCGGC